UACGGAGGGUGCGAGCGUUGUCCGGAAUCACUGGGCGUAAAGGGCGCGUAGGCGGCCUGAUAAGUAGGGGGUGAAAUCCUGCGGCUUAACCGCAGGGCUGCCUUCUAAACUGUCAGGCUCGAGCACAGUAGAGGCAGGUGGAAUUCCCGGUGUAGCGGUGGAAUGCGUAGAGAUCGGGAAGAACAUCAGUGGCGAAGGCGGCUAUCUGGACCGACAUUGACGCUGAGGCGCGAAAGCGUGGGGAGCAAACAGG
rnacentral:rRNA from 1 species